UACGAAGGGGGCUAGCGUUGUUCGGAUUUACUGGGCGUAAAGCGCACGUAGGCGGCUCGUUAAGUCGGGGGUGAAAUCCUGGAGCUCAACUCCAGAACUGCCUUCGAUACUGGCGGUCUAGAGUCCGGAAGAGGUGAGUGGAACUCCUAGUGUAGAGGUGAAAUUCGUAGAUAUUAGGAAGAACACCAGUGGCGAAGGCGGCCCACUGGUCCGGUACUGACGCUGAGGUGCGAAAGCGUGGGGAGCAAACAGG
rnacentral:rRNA from 1 species